GGGCUCGUAUGCAGCGGGCUGGCAUCCUUCGGGGUUACAGCCUUGCUGAAUUAUUCACCCGUGUCUUUUGCGUACUUCUUGUUUCCUUGGUGGGUUCGCCCACCAUAGGACAAACCAUAAACCUUUUGUAAUUGCAAUCAGCGUCAGUAAAAAAAUUAAUAAUUACAACUUUUAACAACGGAUCUCUUGGUUCUGGCAUCGAUGAAGAACGCAGCGAAAUGCGAUAAGUAGUGUGAAUUGCAGAAUUCAGUGAAUCAUCGAAUCUUUGAACGCACAUUGCGCCCUUUGGUAUUCCAAAGGGCAUGCCUGUUCGAGCGUCAUUUGUACCCUCAAGCUUUGCUUGGUGUUGGGCGUCUUGUCUCCAGUUCGCUGGAGACUCGCCUUAAAGUAAUUGGCAGCCGGCCUACUGGUUUCGGAGCGCAGCACAAGUCGCGCUCUCUUCCAGCCAAGGUCAGCAUCCACAAAGCCUUUUUUCAACUUUUGACCUCGGAUCAGGUAGGGAUACCCGCUGAACUUAAGCAUAUCAAUAAGCGGAGGA
rnacentral:rRNA from 2 species